rnacentral:sRNA from 1 species
UAAGAUAAUCUCAGGAAUGCAUUUAAAUGAGAAUAGUAACCCCAAAAUUGAAAAUAUACAAUAUCAUGAUUUCAAAGUCGAUAAUGUAGAGUCUUUCUAGCAAGCUGUAAAUCCUUAGAUAUAGUCGCUCUUUUGGUAAAAUGUCAAACAUUUGGUGAAAAUUAGGAAACAAAAUUACAAAAUGAUUUGAGAGUGAAAGUGUAACUUAUACCCAACAAAACGAAGAAAAACACAUGCCAACAUAGAACCAUGGCACCAGAUUACCGGAGAUCUCACAAUUCUUAAAGUAAAGUGCCGUGUAGACGCGGUAGGUUAUUCAAUUCCAAACCAGAAACUAUGUAUUAUCCAUCUCACCUUUCAGGUUUCCAUUUUCACUCCUUUAUAAAGGAGUGAAAAUGGUAACCGGAAAAGAGAUAUGGAUCAAUGCAUAAUUUCUGGUUUGGAAUUGAAUAACUUAUCCCGUUUUCCUGACUCUUUACUCUCAUUUAAGGAUUGAGAUAUUUCUGGUGUUGUCGUGUCAUGGCUCUAUGUUGGGAUGUGUUUUUGAACGUUUUAUUGGUUAACAUUACACUCUUAGUGUCUAAAUCAUUUGUAAUAAUAUUAUUUGUCAAUUUCAUUUGUUUGAUGUUUUGCUUGUACUCACAACAUUGAUUGUUAUGUUGUUGUCAUCACGCCAACAAAACUUGGACUAGAAGCAACACACUACUAAUAAUAAAUUGUUCUAAGUUGUAUCAAAAGAAUAUCAUAUAUAUGAAAGUUGGCCAACUUUCUCCAUUUGAGUGACACAUCAUCACACUAGUGAGUGUGAUACGUCAUUCUAAAUUAAUAUCAUUAAAAAAAUAACAAAACUUAGUAAUAAAGAAUUAAAAGUUUCACAUUGCAUUAAAUCAUCCAUUAAUCUCAUUCUUAACUACAUAUUUUCAUUUAAAAGAAAAAAAAUACAAAAAAUCAUGUUAAUGUAUCAACACUACUUUCAUUUUACUUUUCUUAUUUUGCUAUUUUUCUAAUAGUCAUUACUUGAUAACAGAUAGAAAUUUUCGUGCAUUGCAACUUAGCUGUUUGCUAGUUAACCUUUCUUAGUUUAGUAAUUUUAACUAAGUUUUUUCUUUUUAUUACAUAUUUCGUCUACAUGCUAUAAUCUAUUUGUGCUUUAUGAUAAAUUGGUACCAUUAAUAAUAACAUGCAUGUUUUUUAAGUAAUGGUCUUUUGAGACAUUAGGUAUAGUUCAAUAUACUGACACUUUCUCCAAUAUGCCUAUAUGCAAAUGCAAAAAGAGAAACCUAAAAGUGUUGAUUUAAAAAACUGUUUAAUUUUUGCUUUAUUUUUUA